AACCCUAACCCUAGCCACACUUUUUCCCCCGGCCCCUUCUCUCUUUGCCCUCCGGUGGCGGCGCGGAGGCUGUUCCUCCCGCUCGCGUGGACCGGCGGCUCGCCGGUGACGGUGUGCCCGCCCCUUUCUUUCUCGCCUGGAGGCAGCCGCUCGCUCGCCCGCGCGCAGCAGGUGGCCGGGGACGAGCCCCUCCCCUUCUUUCUCUUUUUCGUUCUCUGGCGGCGGCGCAGCCGCGCAACAGCACCUUGCUCCUCGCCGGCAAGUGUUGCGCACAGGGCAGCGCGCAACCCCUCCGCCACUGUCCCUUUUCCACCUCUCCCCUUAGUUUCCACCACCCGGACCCGACGGCCUCGAUGGCGAUCUAUCGAAGAGAGGUAUUGCGGCCCUCUUGCCGGCGUGCGCGAGCACCCAAUGGUGAACGCGUCGCCGUCAAGCGGCUUAGGCGGAGGCGCCCUUUGUUCCGCCCAGCGGACAGCAGCAGUAGCAGCCCGGUGGGGUGGGGUGGCGUAACUUUGCCGGCGAGAUGGGCCUCGGCCGGUUGCACUUUACCUCGGUCAGAGGGAGGAUUAGGGUUUCUUUUCCUUUUUCUUUUCAACCCGAAAAACAUGAGAUCUACAACUAGCAACAGCUGAUACCAAUGUAAACAUUGCUGGAUCGCCUAGAGUAGAUCAUUGUCGGGUAGGAUUGGGUACUGUGAGCGUUUACCUUUCACUUGGAGGAGGAAUCCACCGCAGUCGACAUGGUGGAGGUGGCGACGGCGACGGCGUGAAGUCGAGGGAGAGAGGUGGCGGCGGAGCUUCCCGUCGGCACUGCACUAACCCUAAUCGGUGGGUCGUCUGGUGGGGUGAGUGGCAGCUCAGGGUAACUCGUACCGAGUGCCACUGGCCCCCACUACUCUAUAUAGUGCAGGCAACAGGGGCCCACCAACCAGCGAACGGUUGGGCGCCCCCGAUCAGGGCGCGGACGAGGUCAAGGGGUCCUGCCAGAGCCGUUGGGCUCUGGUGCGGUGGAGAUCAAUCCUAACAUCCUGUACAUUCUCCCCGGCUAUCUCCUUUUUGGUUAUUAUCUUACUAAUUUUACCUCCCUGUGUUGCAUUGUUCAUCUGAUUGUUGUGUUUCAACCAUGGGUUUCAACCAUGUCAUAGAGCAUCACUCCAAACUAUUAAACGUGAUACUUGAGAGAAGAGGUUUAAUCGUUAUCUUAAUUUAGUAAUAGAAAAUCUGGAGACAAUUAAUUCGUUUUCUGUGUGUUUUAGCUGACCCUAUUUGACAUCAAGAACAUCUGCAGGAGAUGUGAGCUCACUGCCUUCAACGAACAGAUGGAAGUUCAUAGUGAAAGAAAGAGGCUAGCUGUAACUGUCUCUGCACCGUGCCAUUGAGUUCUCUAGAUUGUCCGCCUUAUUUCCAAAAUGAGUGUCAGCAAGACUUCUGUUCAGAACAUGAUAGCUGGGAAUACCAACAACGAUGAUGCUGAGAAGGUACAGAAAGAAAAAGUGGGAGAAGACGCUGUUCAUGAAAGAGACAAAUCAAGCGAGCAAUCGUCUUGGCAUUCGACCUCGGCUGGUGUCAAAUUUCAGCAAGAGAUAUGAAGUAGAUGAUGCAUACAAAAUAUAUAAGACGAGGUGCGGACGAGCCAACCUUGGCUGGUGUCAAAUUUCAGCAAGAGAUAUGAAGUACAUGAUGCAUACAAAAUAUAUAAGAUGAGGUGCGGACGAGCCACGGUGAUGGAAAUCAUAAUAAAGACUAACUAUGAUUGUGGCCAGCUGAAAAUGAAAAAUCUGCUGUUGAAGGUUCAUGGUGUCCCUCUGCAUAUGCAUCCUGCCAGCAGUAUAUUCACAUGUUUGUACAUGAAGAUGUCCAUUCUUUGAAAUGUGAUCUUUUGCUUAGUGCUAAAGCAUUUGAUUUAACAUCUGAUUGGUGUAUUGGCACCAGAGAAGAACUAUACAGAAGAUAUUUUGGAGCUUAUGACUUAAUUAUCCGCUUCCCCGAAGGUAUGCAAUGUCCGCUAAAUUAUUUGGUGUUUUUGUCUAACCAAUUUACUAUAUCUUCUAUGCAUCAAGUCUCCACGUUAAGAAAAUUAUGGAAAUAUGAUGUUUUCUAGAGCAUGCAUAUGUCCGCCGGUCCAUGUUACAUGCACACUGUAGCUAGGGAGUAUGAGAUGCAUGAGGAGUACAUUCUUUAAUUAUGUGGUCUCUAAUUUAGAGUAUUUAUAUAUUCUAUUCUUCAGCUACCCUUCCAUUUGGUUUUGUGUGCAAAAUACACACAUAGCUUAGUUGGCCCAAAAGAGUAUUGCAGGAUUUGACCCUUUUUAGUUGUAUAGGAUACAAGUUUCAUUUUUUUAUUCACACAUUUAGAGAUCUUAGAAGAUGUCUAUCUUCACCGGAUAUAGUUUCUUUGAAUUCAAAAACUCAUGUUCCAAUUAUUUUUUGUGGGAUAAUAUAACACCAUUUAAUUUAGUGCUGGCUCCUACAAACACCAUUCAUGUAGGGUGACCAGGUCCUUUUCAUGGGAGAUUGAAUGCAUAUCAAUCAACUCGAUAUUUCUGAUCAGAUUAUGUCUGCAGUUCCAAUUCUGCUAGGGGUGUUCUCUUUGUAUCUGAUCAUGGUGGUACAGGGAAGACAUAUUUUGUGGAAUUAUAUUAUUGCAGCCCUGCGAGUCGAUGAUCAUACUGUUUUGGCAAUUGCUUCAUCGGGUGUCCCCUGCUUUUACUGCCAGGUGGGAGGACAACUCUGUUGCAGGAUACAAUAUGAGAUUAAUAAGCUUUCAUGUGUAACAUUUCUGGAGGCACUAAUUUAAGUGAGUUGAUAGAAAAGGCAACACUAAUACUGUCGAAUGAAGCUCCAAUGACACGAAGACGCUGCUUUGAAGCCGUCGAUAGGAGCAUAAGAGAUAUCUUAUUUGUGAAUGAUAGCUCCCUAGGUUCUCUUCCUUUUGGCGGAAAGAGUAUAGUUUUAGGGGGUGAUUUUUCCCUAUUCUUGCGUUUUCCAGCGAGUGUUUAUCUUCUUACGAUCUUCUGUUCGUUCUGUUGGAAUUGUUUUGCUCCCUCCGAUCCAUAAUAAGUGCCAGAGUUUUGGUUCAAUUUAGCUAAAAUGUGAACAAGGACCAUGGCACUUACUAUGGAUCGGAAGGAGUGGCUUAUUGGUUAAUGUUUCUAUUCAUUCUGCUUUUA